rnacentral:lncRNA from 1 species
UCACUCCUACCUACUCCACUUCAAAAAUUAUACUGCCAAUUUAACUUUGAACUGCGGUCCAUAAACAUGUUUUUAAUCAAAUGCUCCAUUUUCCAUAAUGGAGACAAGAACUUCAUUGUAAGAUUCUUAUUUUUUAAUUAACAUUAUAAGAUUAUUAAUUUAUUUUGAAUAUAUCAUUAUUGGUGAACAGGAUUUGACAUUUUUUUAACUUUUUUGAAGGAUUUAACAAGAUACAGUCUUACAAUAAUGUUUAAUGUAUAUUAAGUCUUCAUUGCAUACAUUGUAUGAAGUCUUCCAUCAACAUUGUAAAUUUUGCACACGUUUGGUGUAUCUAAAAAAGUUAAUAAAAAUUAACAAUUUAUUUUAACUAUAUAUUCAUGAGACCCGUAGUUUUUAUCAACUUUUCAACCACAUAUUUAGUCAAGUUUUAUCAAAAUCUAAAUUUAGUUUAAGUCAAUGGCUCCUAAUUCGUCUUUUACAGAUACGAAUCACUAAAUCAGAGUUUAGUGUGUCUAGACUCAUAAAAAUAAAUUAGACAGUUCUUACUUUUCAGCCUUACUAAGAAUUCAUACCAAAAUAUCAAGCUUCCUAUAAAUGUUUGUUAUGAAAUUGGCAAGGGAAGCAAUACUAGUUGGAUCCAUUACAUCAAGUUGAUGAAACACAACAUUCUCAGAGAGACCAAAGCCUUUGAGCUUUUCUAAAUCUUCAUUUCCUCUCUUGUCAUCUAUGUAUUCAGUAGUACUACUGUUGGGACAAAAUCUCCAAGAAAGGUACCAAGAUCAACGGAGUGAGAUCAAGCAAUUUGGGUACUUGGGAAAAAAACUCUGAUGAUACCUUUCUAUUAAUAUGUAGAAAGUGUAAAGAAAUAAAACUAGUAUCAAAGCCUCUAAAAUUUGUGGCCUUAUAUAAUAUAGGAUUUGAGGCAAUGUCUCACCUGCCUAAGGGUUGAGCCACCUUUAAAUCAGGAUGUGAAGAUGAGUUCAAGAAAACAAAGGGUUCGCAGCCUAAACUUUCGACAUCAUGGAUAAUUUUCUUUUCUAAUACAUGGAUUUUAUUUUCAUUAAUCCAUAUAUACUUGGAACAAUGAAAUACUAUUACUUAUCCUCCAAGAGGUAAAUGAUUGAUUACAAAUGUCUAUUAUAUAUCUUCUAUAUAGAGGGAACAAAAUUGGAGUGCAUACCAAUACCUAAUAUGGGCAAAAAAAUAGAUCGAAAGAAGUAACUCUCAGAUCCAUAAUAAUAAUAAUAAUAAUAAUAAUAAUAAUAAUAAAGGAUUUUGGAGUGGUUUGACCGACCAAACUACGGUGGAA